rnacentral:lncRNA from 1 species
CUGAAUUUUGGAAAAGCACUAGUGGUUGUUCGGGCUCAUUUUAUUGGUGGUGGUGGGCUUCUUAUGGUUGUUUGGGAGCUAUGUGGAUUAAAAUGUGUUGAAACAAUUUCUAGGACAUCCAAGCUUCAAGCUGAUGUCACACAGGAGAGGUGGGGCAGACUCAGGGGCUGGCCCAGACCUAGUGCAGAAGAAGACAUGGGCUCCUUCCCCUCCAGCUGCCUGGCUUCCCAUAAAGCAAGCAACUGCAGAGGGCAGCCCAGGGAGUUCACUGACAGAAACUCAGAGAACAGCAAAGCAUCUCCUGCAGAUCACCCAAAGACACCAGUGCCUGUCAGGGACAUUCGCUGGGCCCCCGGAAUGUGGAGAGAUUCUGGAGAAAAGAGGACUGCUGCUGUUAAACAUACUCAAAUGUGUGGAGAAGAGCAUCGUGACUCUUACACAGGCAUCACCUAGCUCCAACAGCCAACAGCUCCUGAUCAUAUUGGUCUCCUCCAUGCCUUCUCCAUCUCAUCCAGGUUUUAAUAAAGAUUCCUGAUGUUGUCUUCACUCAUCAAUAGCCAAACAUGUAUCACACUUGCACAUAGAAGAAUAAUGCCUUAAGAGCAUCACAUUAACAUGAUCAAACAGUCUCCAUGUUUCAA